rnacentral:misc_RNA from 1 species
AUGUGGGGGUUUGCAGGCUUCUGAAAAUGAAGUUGGCUCCCCUGAAAUGCAUUAGUGGUAUCUGAGCAGAGACUACUUACAGGUGUGAUAAUUAUCUAUCUAUGCCUCGGUAUGCUGCAUUGAACAGAUUGCACCGCUUAUAACAAGUGAAAUUUGACAAGUUUGACCUCAAAUCAGGUAGGACUACCCGCUGAACUUAA